UGGAAAGUUAUGUUUACCCAA
rnacentral:piRNA from 1 species